AUUGAACGCUGGCGGCAGGCCUAACACAUGCAAGUCGAACGAGUGGCGGACGGGUGAGUAAUGUCUGGGAAACUGCCAGAUGGAGGGGGAUAACUACUGGAAACGGUAGCUAAUACCGCAUACCAUCGGAUGUGCCCAGAUGGGAUUAGCUAGUAGGUGGGGUAACGGCUCACCUAGGCGACGAUCCCUAGCUGGUCUGAGAGGACGACGAGCCACACUGGAACUGAGACCCGGUCCAGACUCCUACGGGGGGCAGCAGUGGGGAACAUUGCACAAUGGGCGCAAGCCUGAUGCAGACAUGCCGCGUGUAUGAAGAAGGCCUUCGGGUUGUAAAGUACUUUCAGCGGGGAGGCGGUACUCGCAGAAGAAGCACCGGCUAACUCCGUGCCAGCCGCCGCGGUAAUAC
rnacentral:rRNA from 1 species